GAUUCAAGGAGCUGUACCCAACCAUGGGCCUCACUGAAGACAUGCUGGUCAUCCUGCCCAAGUCAGAUCAGUGUGCCAAGGCCCUUGGUGUUUAAACGGGAGCCACCCCCAUCAGCUGCAGCUCCUCCGGCCUCCGCGGAUGGAU